GCAGUGCAGCUGAAAAGAAUAGACCAUAUCAUUUUGGUGGAACUUCCUGCGUUCUAUUGGAUUUACCCACUGGAUAUUAAAAUACUGUCCGAAUGAUUAGUCCCAAAAUUGUUAUUUUACUAACCAUGGAUAACAGCAGCGUUACGAUAAUUGAAAUAAACAAUCGAAGGACAUGUACAUAAGUAAACAACAUGAUUAUUAGCGCUACGACCAUCGAGAUAAUCACAACCCAGCAUAUGAAGACUGGUAAAACAAAAGGAUCCAAGUAGACGACGAUAGACGUAUUACUUGAAGACAAUGUCGUUGAUAUCCGUCAAUGUCACGCCGAUUCCUUGCAACAGUACAUUAAGCACUUGCGGUAGUGCCGAGGGUCCACUUCCGCUGCCGGUCAUCGAAAAA